rnacentral:rRNA from 1 species
CCUUAUUAAGCACCAAGGAGCAGGUAUCAGGCACAACUAUUUAGCCCAAAACACCUUGCUACGCCACACCCACACGGGCACCCAGCAGUGAUAAAUAUUAAGCAAUGAGUGAAAGCCGCCCCAAGCUCGACUUAGUUAUGAUCAUUAGGGCCGGUAAACCUCGUGCCAGCCACCGCGGUUAUACGAAGGGCCCAAAACAACAGAUAUCGGCGUAAAUUGUGGCUAGAGCACCCUUACAACACUGAAAGAUAAACGAAAGUCUAAUCGUAGAACCUAGGCCAAAAGAAACAUAAACUUUCAGCUAUAAAGCAACUUGAACCCACGAAGACUAAGAAACAAACUAGGAUUAGAUACCCUACUAUGCUUAGUUGUUAAUAUGACACCAAAAAACACUACUGUCCGCCAGAGAAUUACACGCGAAAAGCUUAAAACUCAAAGGACUUGGCGGUGCUCCGUAUUCGUCUUAGAGGAGCCUGUCCUAUAAUCGAUAACCCACGCUUUACCUUACCAUCUUUUGUCAAACAGCCUAUAUACCGCCGUCGCAAACUUACCCCAUGAGGGCACAACAGUAAGUAAAAUAGUAGCACACUAACACGUCAGGUCAAGGUGUAGCUAAUAAGAUGGAAGAGAUGGGCUACAUUUUCUAAAACAGAACACAC